UACGUAGGGUCCGAGCGUUGUCCGGAAUUACUGGGCGUAAAGCGCACGUAGGCGGCUUUGCAAGUCAGAGGUGAAAGCCCGGGGCUCAACCCCGGAAUUGCCUUUGAGACUGCAUCGCUAGAAUUGUGGAGAGGUAAGUGGAAUUCCGAGUGUAGAGGUGAAAUUCGUAGAUAUUCGGAAGAACACCAGUGGCGAAGGCGACUUACUGGACACAUAUUGACGCUGAGGUGCGAAAGCGUGGGGAGCAAACAGG
rnacentral:rRNA from 1 species